rnacentral:rRNA from 1 species
AUUGAACGCUGGCGGAAUGCUUUACACAUGCAAGUCGAACGGCAGCACGGGGCAACCUGGUGGCGAGUGGCGAACGGGUGAGUAAUACAUCGGAACGUGCCCAAUCGUGGGGGAUAACGUAGCGAAAGUUACGCUAAUACCGCAUACGAUCUACGGAUGAAAGCGGGGGAUCGCAAGACCUCGCGCGAAUGGAGCGGCCGAUGUCAGAUUAGGUAGUUGGUGGGGUAAAGGCUCACCAAGCCAACGAUCUGUAGCCGGUCUGAGAGGACGACCAGCCACACUGGAACUGAGACACGGUCCAGACUCCUACGGGAGGCAGCAGUGGGGAAUUUUGGACAAUGGGCGCAAGCCUGAUCCAGCCAUUCCGCGUGCAGGAUGAAGGCCUUCGGGUUGUAAACUGCUUUUGUACGGAACGAAACGGUCUGCCCUAAUACGGCGGGCUAAUGACGGUACCGUAAGAAUAAGCACCGGCUAACUACGUG